rnacentral:rRNA from 1 species
UACGUAGGGUGCAAGCGUUGUCCGGAAUUAUUGGGCGUAAAGAGCUCGUAGGCGGUUUGUUGCGUCGGCUGUGAAAUCCCGAGGCUCAACCUCGGGUCUGCAGUCGAUACGAGCAAACUAGAGUGUUGCAGGGGAGACUGGAAUUCCUGGUGUAGCGGUGAAAUGCGCAGAUAUCAGGAGGAACACCAGUAGCGAAGGCGGCACUCUGGGCCGGUACUGACGCUGAGGAGCGAAAGCGUGGGGAGCAAACAGG